CGCGGGGCUCGAUCCCAGGACCCCGGGAUCAUGACCCGAGCCGAAGGCAGUCGCUUCACCGACUGAGCCGCCCAGGCGCCCGGAGAGAGAUGAAUUGUUAUUUGAAUUCUGACUCCCUGGAUCUUGCAGGUCUCAAGAUUCCAGACCCCGGAGGCUCUUAGCUGGAAGUGGGACACACGGGCCAGGGGCAGAAUGGGUUUGCCCGAGGACUGGCGGCAUAGCGAGCCCGCUGUCAGCUGAAUAUUGCAGAGGAGGGAGAAAAACUCCCAAGAACCAGUGCUUUGGGUUGCUGUGCAGGACGGCGGGGUGACGGAGAAAGAACGGGAGGCCAGGAAGUACCCGAUGAUUCACCGGGGGAAAGUUAAGACCGGCAGAAGUGAUACUUGUGGCCCCGGAAGCGGGAUCUCGCAGAAUGAAGUAGGCAGGGCUCCAUCCCAAAUGGGGAGGCCUGGCUGUACGUCUGAGGGACAUGGGACAAAGAGGGACUUAGGGUGGAGCUAAGAGGAGGACAGAAGUUAGCUGUCGUCACAGCAUACGGAAGGCCAUCUGGACCCAGGAGAAAUUCCAUCCUGUUUCCAGCCGAGCUCUGCAAACGGGCAGAGAGCAGAGUCUAGAAGUGAGACAUCCACUGGAAGCAUCUGCACAAAAAUCAGAUUCUUUCACCACCACCCCUUUCACCCAAGUUUACUGAGCAUCAGUCAUUGGCCAGGCACUGGGAUGGGUGCUGGGGACACAGUGAUGAACUGAGACAGAUGUCAUAGUCCCUGUCCCCCCAAACCUGGCCUUCCAAUGGCAGUAAGCAAGCAAAAACCGGAACCAAAACCAAACAAGUUAACGGACUGAGAAAUACUGUAAUUGCACCUUGGCACUCAAUAAGCAAGGGGUUAAGGUGGAGAAUAACUGAGAGGGACCUAAGGAGGGAAGGGUAAUUAGAGGAAACCUCCUGGAGGUUGCAAAAUCCACCCUGAGACCUAAAGGAAAGAGAAGAAGCUAGCUAAGCAAAGGAGAGAGGACACAGCAGGUGCAAAGGUCCUGGGGCAGGGAAAGGUUGGAGAUAUUCAAGGAGUGGAAAGAACACAGGAGGAGUGGUGCAGGAUGAGCUUGGUGAGGAGGGCAGGCAGGGGCUUUCAGGGCAUUCAACAAGGGGGUGACGUGAUCUGCUUCACGUUUUAAGAAGGCCAUUUUGCCACUAAGUGGAAAUUAGAUCGUGAGGCCUUUGACAAAUUCUUGACUUAUUAACAAUUUCAUGUCUCAAAAGAACUACUCCCAGGAAUGGCCACCUUAUGGAGGGACGAUUAGCCAAAUAGACAUGACAGAAACCUGGAAGCAGCCGACUGUGUGAUUUUAAGAUUCAUGGUAUCUGAGAAGGAUAACACAGAGUUAGGCGUAUUUUCUGAUCAUCAGCGUGGGAGAUCUCAAAGGGCGUGGAGAAGUCCCGUGAUUCUAAGACGUGCAUCUCAAAAGGGGAGAUGGGUUCAGAGUGCUUCCAACAAACAACUUUCCAAAGAGGGGGAAAUGGACAUCGUUCCAGGGAGGGAGCUGAGAUGUUUAAGAGCGGGUACCUAAAAAGGAAGGAAAGUUACCUACCCAUGGGCAAAUACAAGGUAGGGGCCUCUGAGCGUAAUCUCAGGAAUGCACAGCACAGUCAAAAGGGAAACAGAAAAUGAUGAGGGCGGGACACCUGGGGGGGGUCCCAACAGACAACGGAGCAGUGUUGCCGGAGCCACGGGAGCCCCAGGGAAGCAGGAUGCCUCCUGUCGCAUAGUGUUUCUGCACUUUUGUGUGGAAGGGAUACCAUCGGGCACAGAGGGAAGAAACCGGGAGAACAGCCAGGACUCUUACAGCAAGAGUCCUGCCCGCUUUGCUGUCUGCAGUGUCCCCUGCGCGGCUGGCCCAGGUAGGUGCUUGUUAAUAUUCGUGACAUGAAUGGUGACCCGGCUGUUGUAGAGCGGCUGUGAUAAAGAUAUGCAAACUCUCCGGACCAGGGGGCCGCACGCUUCCCCAGAAGAGAGGACUGUGCCCUGGUCUUUGGCUUCCCGUCAUUGAUUUCAACUGCCUAGUGGGGAGCCUUGGUGGGAACAGACCUCACCUGUCUGGACAGACGCGUGAGGGACGAGACUGCCUCCUCCCCUGUAGCUGGGGCGUGGAUCGGAGACCUGGAUGUGGCUGAUCCGAUGCUCUCGGAUGGCACCGGGCAUGCACAGCGUGGGCCCGCACCCCUGCCUCAUCCCUGCCUGGCUCCGGCUUGUCUUUCUUUGGUUAAAACUUUUUAUUUCCAACCGGUCAGUUUUGCCAUUUCGAGCCAAGGAUCCGGCGGACGGGUGUGCUACCUUUUAGGAAAGGAGAAGUCUGCAGACGGCACAGCCUGUGGAGGGAUGGGAAGGUUCAUGGGUCUGCGUCCCCAACCCCCCGUGCUUGAUGGGCCUUGGGGGAGGCUGAGAAGACCAGAAGCUGAAAAAGGAGCGGAUGAGGAACAUGUCUGGACUUUAUUCUCUUUACUCUGGACGAACACCUCGCCUGGCUUGAUGUGUGAGUCCCUGGAGUCGGGGCUUGGCAGGACUGCUGAGGUUUACCGGGGCUGGUUCGCUGUCCCGGGGCUAGGCACUAGGAUGGUGCCCUUGGGACAGGGGUCCGCGGGUGGAGAUCAAAGCAUCAUCUUUAUUCCUGAACAAAGAGGAUAUCCCAGAACCUGACGUGGCCUUGCUGGUUUCCUAGCCAAGUGGACCUGCCAAUCCAUCCCUAAGUUAGAAAGCUGCAGGCACCAAGGAGCAGGGCAUGGCUGGUGUGGGAAGGGGCGCAAUCCCUUCUCACAAACCCACUGGUAGGGGAAGCUGACCCUCUCUUGGAGAGGGGGUGAGUGGGACAGAGAGAUGUCUCCCCAACCAGGGACAAAGAAAGGAGCAAUAUUUUCAUAGGGAAGUUAGGGAUGGUGCUUUGCUGCCAGGGUGCAGACAGCAUUGUUGGAAGGAGGGCUUCCCAGGAUCAGAAACUACAAAGGCAACCAGGUGUGAGGUCUGUGCGUUGAACAAAACCUUCAGAGUGGUAAGGGCAGAAAGUUUGGCACAGAGGGGCGCCUGGGUGGCUCAGUCAGUUAAGCGUCCGCCUUCGGCUCAGGUCAUGAUCCCAGGGUCCCGGGAUGGAGCCCCACAUCGGGCUCCCUGCUGGGCGGGG